AGUGAACGCUGGCGGUAGGCCUAACACAUGCAAGUCGAACGGCAGCACAUUAAGAGCUUGCUCUUACGGGUGGCGAGUGGCGGACGGGUGAGGAAUACAUCGGAAUCUACUUUUUCGUGGGGGAGAACGUAGGGAAACUUACGCUAAUACCGCAUACGACCUACGGGUGAAAGCAGGCUAUCUUCGGACCUUGCGCGAUUGAAUGAGCCGAUGUCGGAUUAGCUAGUUGGCGGGGUAAAGGCCCACCAGGGCGACGAUCCGUAGCUGGUCUGAGAGGAUGAGCAGCCACACUGGAACUGAGACACGGUCCAGACUCCUACGGGAGGCAGCAGUGGGGAAUAUUGGACAAUGGGCGCAAGCCUGAUCCAGCCAUAGCGCGUGGGUGAAGAAGGCCUUCGGGUUGUAAAGCCCUUUUGUUGGGAAAGAAAAGCAGCAGGUUAAUACCCCGCUGUUCUGACGGUACCCAAAGAAUAAGCACCGGCUAACUUCGUG
rnacentral:rRNA from 1 species